UACGAAGGGGGCUAGCGUUGCUCGGAAUCACUGGGCGUAAAGGGUGCGUAGGCGGGUCUUUAAGUCAGAGGUGAAAUCCUGGAGCUCAACUCCAGAACUGCCUUUGAUACUGAGGAUCUUGAGUAUGGGAGAGGUGAGUGGAACUGCGAGUGUAGAGGUGAAAUUCGUAGAUAUUCGCAAGAACACCAGUGGCGAAGGCGGCUCACUGGCCCAUUACUGACGCUGAGGCACGAAAGCGUGGGGAGCAAACGGGG
rnacentral:rRNA from 1 species